UACGGGAGGCAGCAGUGGGGAAUAUUGCACAAUGGGCGAAAGCCUGAUGCAGCUAUGCCGCGUGUAUGAAGAAGGCCUUAGGGUUGUAAAGUACUUUCAUCGGGGAGGAAAAACAAAACUAAUAAUUUUAUUUCUUGACGUUACCCGAAAAAGAAGCACCGGCUAACUCCGUGCCAGCAGCCGCGGUAAUACGGAGGGUGCUAGCGUUAAUCAGAAUUACUGGGCGUAAAGAGCACGUAGGUGGUUUUUUUAAAGUCAGAUGUGAAAUCCCUGGGCUUAACCUAGGAACUGCAUUUUGAAACUGAAAUACUAGAGUAUCGUAGAGGGAGGUAGAAUUCUAGGUGUAGCGGUGAAAUGCGUAGAUAUCUGGAGGAAUACCUGUGGCGAAAGCGGCCUCCUAAACGAAUACUGACACUGAGGUGCGAAAGCGUGGGGAGCAAACAGGAUUAGAUACC
rnacentral:rRNA from 1 species